AAUCAAAACAAGCUGAUUACGAAAUACGUACGUGUUUACGAUAGAUAAUGUACUCGUAGUGCUUCCAGCGACUUUUU
rnacentral:sRNA from 1 species